rnacentral:rRNA from 1 species
GCCUUCGGGAACCGUGAGACAGGUGCUGCAUGGCUGUCGUCAGCUCGUGUUGUGAAAUGUUGGGUUAAGUCCCGCAACGAGCGCAACCCUUAUCCUUUGUUGCCAGCGAUUCGGUCGGGAACUCAAAGGAGACUGCCAGUGAUAAACUGGAGGAAGGUGGGGAUGACGUCAAGUCAUCAUGGCCCUUACGACCAGGGCUACACACGUGCUGACAAUGGCGCAUACAA